rnacentral:rRNA from 1 species
AUUGAACGCUGGCGGCAGGCCUAACACAUGCAAGUCGAGCGGAGCGGCGGACGGGUGAGUAAUGCCUAGAAAUCUGCCUGGUAGUGGGAGAUAACGUACGGAAACGGGCGCUAAUACCGCAUACUAUCAGAUGAGCCUAGGGCUGAUUAGCUAGUUGGUGGAGGAAAGGCCGACCAAGGCGACGAUCCGUAACUGGUCUGCGAGGAUGAUCAGUCACACGGGAACUGAGACACGGUCCAGAUUCCUACGGGAGGCAGCAGGGGGGAAUAUUGGAAAAUGGGCGAAGGCCUGAUCCAGCCAUGCCGCGUGUGUGAAGAAGGCCUUCGGGUUGUAAAGGACUUUCAGCGGGGAGGCGUUACCCGCAGAAGAAGCACCGGCUAACUCCGGGCCAGCCGCCGCGGUAAUAC